GGGCCGUUAGCUCAGUUGGUAGAGCAGUUGACUCUUAAUCAAUAGGUCCAAGGUUCGAAUCCUUGACGGCCCA
rfam:Xanthomonas albilineans GPE PC73 complete genome